CCGGUGGAGGUAAACCGGAGUGUAAUGCAGCCGUGCAAUGCACGAGAGUCCAAAGCCUCUAUAAAUGCAGAUGGCGCG
rnacentral:ribozyme from 1 species